ACUGGACUUGUAUGGCUGGGAGCUACAAGGCAGGCCAUGGUUUCAUCGAACAGCCGGGAGUGGAGCGGGAUGCUGAAGGAUAGCGGCGCUCACUUCAGUGAGCCCAGCUUGAACCCCACCAUUGGCGUCCUGGGCACCACUCUGAAUAAGCUGCUUCAGUUGUGACUUGUAGCACAAAGUUUCUGUCACCCAGUUCAUUGUCAUCUCUGAACCAAAGCAUUGGUCCUGCCAGCUAGUCACCACUUGAAUAAAAGUUGAAAUGGUGCAGUGUGUUUGUGUAAAUAAACUGUUGAAGUU